GAUGAAGAACGCAGCAAAAUGCGAUAGGUAAUGUGAAUUGCAGAAUUCAGUGAAUCAUCGAAUCUUUGAACGCACAUUGCGCCCGCUGGUAUUCCGGCGGGCAUGCCUGUUCGAGCGUCAUUUCAACCCUCAAACCCCCCGGGUUUGGUGUUGGGGAUCGGCUCUGCCUCACGGCGGUGCCGCCCCCGAAAUACAUUGGCGGUCUCGCUGCAGCCUCCAUUGCGUAGUAGCUAACACCUCGCAACUGGAACGCGGCGCGGCCAUGCCGUAAAACCCCAACUUCUGAAUGUUGACCUCGGAUCAGGUAGGAAUACCCGCUGAAUUUAAGCAUAUCAAUAAGCGGAGGA
rnacentral:misc_RNA from 1 species